UACAGAGGGUGCAAGCGUUAAUCGGAUUUACUGGGCGUAAAGCGCGCGUAGGCGGCUAAUUAAGUCAAAUGUGAAAUCCCCGAGCUUAAUUUGGGAAUUGCAUUCGAUACUGGUUAGCUAGAGUGUGGGAGAGGAUGGUAGAAUUCCAGGUGUAGCGGUGAAAUGCGUAGAGAUCUGGAGGAAUACCGAUGGCGAAGGCAGCCAUCUGGCCUAACACUGACGCUGAGGUGCGAAAGCAUGGGGAGCAAACAGGG
rnacentral:rRNA from 1 species